AGUCGGGCUCCUGGAUACACAAACUAUAAUACACAUCCUUGUUGCUGGGGCACAUUGGCACGGGGGAUGAGAGGGGUAUAAGAACAGGACAGUAGAGGGAGAGGGAGGAAGCAGGGAAGCAGGAGGAGAGACAAGAUGAUGUAACCAAGCAAUAAAGCUUCUUUAACUGAAUUAAGGGGUGUCAGAACUGCUCUGUCAUAUCCGGAGACUUCUGCCUUCCAAAGAUCAUAGAGGCGACAAUAAUUGUGGCUCUUCUAUGAAUUGUUGGGUGACUGAUCGGUGAUGGCCGCUAGCCUGGCUUUCUGUGGCGAGACCUGGGGUUUUCAGUAUUCCCAAAGUGAAGUAAUCUGGGGAGAAUUCCGGGCCACAGCUGCUCUGCCCUCACUAUCUUGUGACAACAAACCACAAGAACUCCUCUCCACUUUGGCAGUGCAACCAGAACUGGGUAAGAGGGGAAGGAGCUUCUCCAGUUGGACUGGUCCUGUGUCCAGUACUGUUGUGCCACAAUCUCCCUGAACUGUGUUACCUCAGUUUCCCGGCACUAGCUUCCCUAAUUGUCCUGAGUUUCCCUGAAUUGUUUUGCCUCAAUCCCCUUAGUUGCAAACCCCUUCUCUGGUUCAUUAAGACUGAGGACCACUGCUCUAAGUUAUAUAAAUUGUUAAUGUGAAACUCAAGAUGAGGGGGAGUUCAGACUUCCUGGCUCCUAACUCCUUCUGUGCUCCAGAAUCUAUGGCACUAUCUCGGAUACCUCAUUGAUAUCUUUACUUCUGUUUAUUCGGCCAUCCUGACUCUGGCUCCCAAAUUUAUGGUCUAGAAACUUCCCACUCUUUUUUUCUUUGUUUCAAGAGGCCUAUUAAAAAAACCUGGGAUCCUCACAUUCGCCACUGGAUACUUUGAGAUGAGAGUCCUGUCCAGCCAAUCAUACUCUCCAAUUAAUAAAAUAUUAAAAACUCUCUAA